rnacentral:misc_RNA from 1 species
AGCAGAUCUGCCUUACAAUCUUGGUCUCGUUUUCAAUCAUAAGAGCUAUAAAUGAACCACUGAAGGCCAAAACAAGGCACACUGCAAAGGCAUGGAAGAUGAUAGAUGGAAGUUUUUUGAAGAUGAUGAUGGACAGAAUUCGAUUUCCGUCUAGCGAUAAUACGGUAGCUACUAUGAAGCAAAAACAGAAAAUAAAUUUCAUGAAGUUCUGUUGUUGGUAGGGAGUGAAGAUGUAAGAUGAAGGGUGGACACACUGAAGGGAUGCCAUCUUCUUAAAAUUUGGUUUUUU